CGUUUACAAACUUGGGACCCUGGCAAGAGUGGUGGGGAAUGGGUCCCACAUAACUGCCCAUGUUGAGAGCUGUAUACCUAAAUCAGGAGGGACACUAAGACUCCCUGGGUUUAUAGCCUAGAUGCCUGAGGAUGCAGCGUAGAGCUUCCCUAGAUCCCUUUGGAGAUACAACUUGCUAGAGGAAAAAGGAAAGUCUGAACCAUUAGUACUUAGGAGGCAGGGAUUGGAGGAAGUAGAUUCAGAGGUAAGGAGAAUUUUGGGGCUACACUUUCAAGAAAGUCAUGGUUGGGACCCAGGAAGUAUGGGUCAGAAGGAAAGGUAGGGGUGCACACAUGUAGAAUAGAGACUUCUGGCUGCACCAUGAUCUCAACCAGCUAAUUCAGGGAGUUUGGAACAACAGCUUUCUGCCUCUAGUCUGCCCUUGGCUUCCCCAAGAAAAUUGAAAGUGGAAGCUGGUUCCAGGCAGACCACAGAAGGGUUGGGGGUUGUUAGAAAGCCCUUCUCCAGACAGCCUCACACCUGAGUCUUAGCAGCAGCCAUGCUAAUUGUUUUUAACUGGCUGACAGGUGCCCGGUAUUUUCCUCCAAUCUAAGGAAGGAUAGGACAGAAUAGCAAGCAAAAGUGGUCCAAUAUUACUCACCACUUUGGAGGUCCCUUCAUGGUUACCAGAAUGUUACCAGGGUUCCUUGCUCCCAGAGCUGCCAAGAUGGUGGCAGGCCACUUCCAAGAUGGCGGCAAGCCUCUUGUUCUCUGAACUGGGGUUCUUGGCCUCACGGAUUCCAAGGAAUGGAAAAUCUUGGGCCAUGUGGUGAGUGUUAUAGCUCUAUUAGAAACUGUGGGUCAUGGAAGAGAACCGUGGAACACAGCGACUAGUGUUCAGCUCGAUUAGGAUGAACCUGGGCACUUAGCCGUGCAGGAACGAUGGCAAGCCUUUAGCCUGAUCCGGAGCAGCAACGGGUGCCUCACUGGAUCAGAAGCACAGCAGACACCCUGUCAGAUCCGGAGGGGUGGAAGUCAGUGGCAGGUCUGCAUCAGCGACAAACAGCCGUGGUGGAUGAGUAUUCUAGCUGCCUCCGCCUUUGAGACAGAGCAGGAAGAACCUGUGGAUGGUGGGAUUCCCUCUUCUUGGAGAAGGGGAUGAGCAUUUCCCGCUGCCCUCCUGACACGCCCGUGGCUGUCUGCCUUGCUCUGUACCUCCAGACUUCAUGGAAAGCAUGCUCGACCUUUGACUUCUGGAAAUCCUUGAAUGAAGCACAAAAGGGAUUGGUCCUUGCCUGGUGUGAAGCACAGCUGAGCCAAAGGAGGAAGCAAUAUUGCAAUGGACUCUGUCUUUGACAUCACUACUUUGCAAAUUUGUUACCACUAUGGUCAAAUUUUUAUAUUCACUCUUACAUUUUAACUCAUUCUGCUCAUUAUAUUCAAUGCAACAUCUGCACUAAAAGAUACUCAGGCAUUAAUUUAUGCUUUUCUGUUUACAAAUGAGAAUUCAUAAGCAAAUUGAGGUAGCAAUUAGAUAUUUUUUAAAAUCGAAGACAAAACAGAAGACACAUACACACACAUCAGUGGAACACAACAGAGAGCCCAGAAACAGACUGAAAUACAGCCGACUAAUCUCUGACAAAGGAGCAAAAGCAAUUCAAUGGAGAAAGGAGAGUCUUUUUAACAAAUGGUGCCGGAACAAGUGGGCAUCCAUAUGCAAAAAAGAAAAAAAAAAAGAAUCUAAAAACAGACCUUAUACUUCUUACAAAAAUUAAUGCAAAGUAGAUAUUAGACCAAUAUAUAAAAUGUAAAAUUUUCAAACUUCUAGAAGAUAACAUAAGGAAAAAAUCUAGUUAACUUUGGAUUUGGUGACUUUUUAAAGAUACAACACCAAAAGCAUGAUCCACGAAGACAAAAAUUGGUAAGCUGAAUUUCAUUAACAUGAAAAACUUUUGUUUUGCAAAAGAUACCAUUAAGAGAAUAAAAAGACAAAUCCCAAACUGUGAGAAAAUAUUUGCAAAAUAUAUCUAAGGAUUCGUAUCUGAAAUAUGCAAAGAACUGUUAAAACUCAACAAGAGGAAAACAAACAACCCAAUUAAAAAUGGGCAAAAGCUGAACAGAUAUGCAGAUGGAAACUAACUAUAUGAAAAGAUGCUCUGUAUGUUAUUAGGAACUGCCAAUUAAGACAACAAUAAGACACCACUACACACCUAUUAGAAUGGCCAAAAUCCACAAGUCUGAAAACACCAAAUGCUGGUGAGGAUGUGAAGCAACAAGAACUCUCAUUCAUUGCUGUGGGAAUGCAAAAUGGCACAGCCACUUUGGAAGACAGUUUGGCAGUUUUUUACAAAGCUCACAUAGUCUUAUUAUAAGAUUUAGCAAUUGUGCUCUUCAUUAUUUACCCAGUGGAGUUGAAGAGUUAUGUCCACACACAAACUUGCACACAAAUGUUUAUAAAAGCUUUAUUCAGGAUUACCAGAAACUGGAGGUGAUCAACAUGUCCUUCAGUAGGUGAAUGGAGAAAUAAAUUCUGAUAUCUACAGACAAUGGAAUAUCAUUCAGUGAGAAAAGACCUAUCAAGUCAUGAAAAGGCAUACCGGGACCCAAAAUGCACAUUACUAACGAAAAAAGCCAAAAAGGCUACAUACUGUAUGAUUCCAAUUAUGUGACAUUUUGGAAAAGGGAAAAUUACACAGAUAGUAAAAUGAUCGGUGGUUGGUAGGGGUUGAGGAGAGGGAAGGAUAGAUGGUCAGAGAGUUCCGGAUGUUUAGGGCAGUGAGACCAUUGUGUGCGAUUUCACCACAACGGUGGACCCACGACAGUGUGCAGAUGCCAAACCCAUUGAAUGCAGACCACAAAAAGAUAAUAAUUACAUAAACUAUGAACUUUCAUAAUGAAAUAAAUCAUGUUUUAAAAAAGUAGACAGCUUUGUUCAGUUACUGUCUACUUUUUGAAAUGGAGAGGGUGGGAUGCUUACAUGGUUGUGAGGAUAAAAAUAGCUUAGAGAAUGUAAUAACUAAAACAGGUGUGUAAACAUUGUUAAACUCUUUUAUCCUCAUUAAAAAACAUUGCUUAAAUAUAUUUGUAAUUUUUUACAACUGAGCGAGUAGUGCAAACACAUUAACAUAAUUCUCCUCUAGCUCCGCUCAGAAGUCAGGCUUCAGUGCAGGACCACAUGGCUCCAAGUGCACCUGCCAAAUGCAACAACCUCUUUCAACGUCAUUAAAAUAUUUCAAUAGGAGGCUUGAUUUUAGACUCAACCUGUGUUUUCUCCCCUGGAAAAUGAAGGUUUUAUGAAACAAAGAAGGUCUUUACCAUUCUCAUCCAAAAUGCUGAGACAUCUGUGAUGUCUGCUGUAAGUGCCACCAGGCUCUCCUCUGAAAUCUCACAACGGGAAAAUAGAGACUGUCAAUUCUGCUUUUAGAAAGGGGAGAAUCAGAUCUAAUGUCGAAAUGCCAUGUCCUCAUUCAUACACAUCUUCUUUUACAAAUUCCACAGGUUUAGUUACUUUGGGAUUAAUAUGGGCCUAUUUUAAAGUGCAUUUAUUAAUUUAGCAUGAAAUGUCCAAAUGCAUUCUGGAUCCUGAGCUGACAUCCAGCAAUGCUGAGUGUGCGCCUGUGUGAGUCACCAGCCCUGAUGAGCCUCAGGUUAUUGUAUUCAUAAAAUGAAGGGGCUUAGGCUUGCUCCGAUUUUUUUAAAACCAUUUUUAACAGUAAAAACUUGUUUCUUGUUACAUAAAAAUGUACAAGAAAAACCCAAACAUUACAAAUGAUAAAUUAUAAUUUUAUUAAUAUAAAUAUUUUGUGAGCUCAAUUUAUAGGACUUAGUUAUUAUAAAAGAAAUAAGCAACAUGAGGUGGCCAUACUUUCCUAUUUUGUUCACAUGCUAUUGAUAAAUCUUGAUGUACACAGAAAAUUAGUUUCAAAGAAUAAUAAUUUUAAAAAUCUUGACUUGUAAUUUCAAGGGACUUUAAAAAAAUUCCUGCAAUUUCUCUUUAAAGGUUCUAGAACAGUUUUCUAUGUCUUAAAGCUAAAUAAUCACAAAGAACUAACUGUUCUCACAUUCUGUAUUAUAAAUAUGUAAGUCAGAAAAGGAACAGACAAAAGAAUAAAAACACAUGCGUGAACAAAUGGGCCUUGGUUUACAUUGAAUUGGAUCUGGCAAUGAACAUGGGUUAUAGUAGUAUUUUUGUGUGUAAUUUUACACGAGUGGACUGUUGACAAAAUAAAAAUUGUCUGCAAUCACUAUUUGGUGGUAUAUUUGCACAAAUGGUAAACAUAUACAUAGAGGUCGUGGGAGAAAUUUAUUUCAUGGCUUACCAGAAGACAGGUUAAGUUGGGA
rnacentral:lncRNA from 10 species